rnacentral:rRNA from 1 species
UACGUAGGGUGCGAGCGUUAAUCGGAAUUACUGGGCGUAAAGCGUGCGCAGGCGGUUUUUUAAGCCAGAUGUGAAAGCCCCGGGCUCAACCUGGGAAUGGCAUUUGGGACUGUAAGGCUGGAGUAUGGCAGAGGAGACUAGAAUUCCUGGUGUAGCAGUGAAAUGCGUAGAUAUCAGGAGGAAUACCGAUGGCGAAGGCAGGUCUCUGGGCCAAUACUGACGCUCAUGCACGAAAGCGUGGGGAGCAAACAGG